AGGGUCUUUCAGAAAUAACCUCUUUACCUUCAGAAGGUAGGGGUAAGGACUACUUACAUACUACCCUCCCCAGACCCCACUUGUGAGAAUAUACUGGGUAAUUAAUUAUAUAUCAUAUUUCAAGACUCAAGUGUGUGAAGCCAGCGUUGUACACAACAACUUUAUUUAAAGGUGUUCUUAAGGCAGGAAAAGAAUAAUGGGUGCUGUUAAACUGCUACUUCCGUUGCCUAAAAAUGUUGAUGGAGUGACCCUGGAUCCAAACCCUGAUUGGAGCUUUGA